rnacentral:rRNA from 1 species
AUUGAACGCUGGCGGCAGGCUUAACACAUGCAAGUCGAGCGGGGAAGGGUAGCUUGCUACCUAACCUAGCGGCGGACAGGUGAGUAAUGCUUAGGAAUCUGCCUAUUAGUGGGGGACAACAUUCCGAAAGGAAUGCUAAUACCGCAUACGCCCUACGGGGGAAAGCAGGGGAUCUUCGGACCUUGCGCUAAUAGAUGAGCCUAAGUCAGAUUAGCUAGUUGGUGGGGUAAAGGCCUACCAAGGCGACGAUCUGUAGCGGGUCUGAGAGGAUGAUCCGCCACACUGGGACUGAGACACGGCACAGACUCCUACGGGAGGCAGCAGUGGGGAAUAUUGGACAAUGGGCGCAAGCCUGAUCCAGCCAUGCCGCGUGUGUGAAGAAGGCCUUUUGGUUGUAAAGCACUUUAAGCGAGGAGGAGGCUACUUGGAUUAAUACUCUAGGAUAGUGGACGUUACUCGCAGAAUAAGCACCGGCUAACUCUGUGCCAGCCGCCGCCGUAAUAC